rnacentral:rRNA from 1 species
GACGAACGCUGGCGGCGCGCCUAACACAUGCAAGUCGAACGAGAGAUGAGGAGCUUGCUCUUCAAAUCGAGAGGCGAACGGGUGAGUAACGCGUGAGGAACCUGCCUCAAAGAGGGGGACAACAGUUGGAAACGACUGCUAAUACCGCAUAAGCCCACGGCUCGGCAUCGAGCAGAGGGAAAAGGAGCAAUCCGCUUUGAGAUGGCCUCGCGUCCGAUUAGCUAGUUGGUGAGGUAACGGCCCACCAAGGCGACGAUCGGUAGCCGGACUGAGAGGUUGAACGGCCACAUUGGGACUGAGACACGGCCCAGACUCCUACGGGAGGCAGCAGUGGGGAAUAUUGCACAAUGGGGGAAACCCUGAUGCAGCGACGCCGCGUGGAGGAAGAAGGUCUUCGGAUUGUAAACUCCUGUUGUUGAGGAAGAUAAUGACGGUACUCAACAAGGAAGUGACGGCUAACUACGUGCCAGCAGCCGCGGUAAAACGUAGGUCACAAGCGUUGUCCGGAAUUACUGGGUGUAAAGGGAGCGCAGGCGGGAGAACAAGUUGGAAGUGAAAUCCAUGGGCUCAACCCAUGAACUGCUUUCAAAACUGUUUUUCUUGAGUAGUGCAGAGGUAGGCGGAAUUCCCGGUGUAGCGGUGGAAUGCGUAGAUAUCGGGAGGAACACCAGUGGCGAAGGCGGCCUACUGGGCACCAACUGACGCUGAGGCUCGAAAGUGUGGGUAGCAAACAGGAUUAGAUACCCUGGUAGUCCACACCGUAAACGAUGAUUACUAGGUGUUGGAGGAUUGACCCCUUCAGUGCCGCAGUUAACACAAUAAGUAAUCCACCUGGGGAGUACGACCGCAAGGUUGAAACUCAAAGGAAUUGACGGGGGCCCGCACAAGCAGUGGAGUAUGUGGUUUAAUUCGACGCAACGCGAAGAACCUUACCAAGUCUUGACAUCCCUUGACGAUGCUGGAAACAGUAUUUCUCUUCGGAGCAAGGAGACAGGUGGUGCAUGGUUGUCGUCAGCUCGUGUCGUGAGAUGUUGGGUUAAGUCCCGCAACGAGCGCAACCCUUAUGGUCAGUUACUACGCAAGAGGACUCUGGCCAGACUGCCGUUGACAAAACGGAGGAAGGUGGGGAUGACGUCAAAUCAUCAUGCCCUUUAUGACUUGGGCUACACACGUACUACAAUGGCGUUAAACAAAGAGAAGCAAGACCGCGAGGUGGAGCAAAACUCAGAAACAACGUCCCAGUUCGGACUGCAGGCUGCAACUCGCCUGCACGAAGUCGGAAUUGCUAGUAAUCGUGGAUCAGCAUGCCACGGUGAAUACGUUCCCGGGCCUU